ACCAAAUCGUAGGCAGUUAGCCUAGAAAAUGCUAAAGUUGAAACAAUAUUUUGGCAUGAACAAAGUGGCCGGAAAUUGUGCACUCCGCCGUGAUCGUUGCCGGACGAUUGUACUUUCGAUUCUCUCCUCCAAGACGAUGGAAUAUUGAACGAGUAAUUUCAACUUUAAAGUUGUCUCUCAAGGAAGGUUCUGAUUUUAGGGUUUCUGAUUUUAACAUGGACAACUAUCAGUUUUAGGUUUCCAGUUACAACUACGAUGACAUAUACAGACGGUUUAAUGUUGCUGUUCUUUUGGCCAAUCUGCAUGAGUGUUUGUUCUUUAUAAAUGAUGUUUGCAAGAUAGGGCCUGAGUGUUGAAUAUAGAAAGUUGACAUUGAUCAUCAACACUGGAGGUGCAAUGACCAUUGGACACAACAGGUAACUUCUAUAUUCAAGCCUUAAUUUAGUGAGUUGAUUUGUAAAUGAGAUCUGAUUUCUAAAUUAGGGUUUCAUUUUGAGAUAUUCUGGGUUCCGGUAUGAUGAGUUUGGGGUCUUAUUUCAACAAUAAUUUUGAAACGAAGCUGUUACUUUUGAACCCUGCUAUUUUUAUGUUCUUUAUUCUUGUAGUUCUGUCUUUGUGUAUUGUUUUUUUGCGUGAGUUGGUGGACAAUGGUUUCUCGCUUGUUCUUUGUGGUUGUCGUCAAAUGUAGUUUAUGUGCAUCAAGAUGUCUGAAACCUGGACAUCCAAAUACUGGAGUACGAUAGAACAAGUAGAAUAAAGAUGUUUGCAAUUUUCAUCUUGUGUGUAUCUUUGUUGGUUGGUUUUAUACAGCUAACCGAUAAACGAAACCCAAAGUUGACCGAAUCCACAGGAUUUACAUUUUUCAUGACCAUAACUUCAGUUAUGCAUCUAACGAUCAUCUGAAAAUACUAUGAGAUUUAAAUAAACCUAUUAGAACAAACUAUUUGGUUCAGAUUGUCAUGAAAGCUUGGAGAUUGUAAACACUCGACUUGCUUGUUAUUAAAUUUUCUAGAGAUAUGAAGUAAAUAAGCUAGUGAAAGUAAAUAUUCAUUGGAGUGAAGCUCUAGCAACUUUAGACCAUUUGCGGCCAUCGUGGUGUGGUGCUAGAUGACAGUGAAGUCUACAAAUGACGAAGAGAGAAGGGUUGUAUCAGCUAAAGACUUAACGAAUGUGCUUAAAGUAGCACUGUAAGAGGGUUGUAUCAGCUAAAGACUUAACGAAGGUGCUUAAAGUAGCAAUGCUAUAUGAUUUUAAUGUUGGGAAAUUAUCUAUGUACCCGUUAAAGAUCUUUAUGUUUUGAGUUUGCAUUUUAUUUA